CCUACGGGUGGCAGCAGUGGGGGAUAUUGCACAAUGGAGGAAACUCUGAUGCAGCGACGCCGCGUGAGGGAAGACGGUCUUCGGAUUGUAAACCUCUGUCUUUGGGGAAGAAAAUGACGGUACCCAAAGAGGAAGCUCCGGCUAACUACGUGCCAGCAGCCGCGGUAAUACGUAGGGAGCGAGCGUUGUCCGGAUUUACUGGGUGUAAAGGGCGUGUAGGCGGGAGAGCAAGUCAGACGUGAAAUUCCAGGGCUCAACCCUGGAACUGCGUUUGAAACUGUUCUUCUUGAGUGAUGGAGAGGCAGGCGGAAUUCCGUGUGUAGCGGUGAAAUGCGUAGAUAUACGGAGGAACACCAGUGGCGAAGGCGGCCUGCUGGACAUUAACUGACGCUGAGGCGCGAAAGCGUGGGGAGCAAACAGGAUUAGAUACCCCUGUAGUC
rnacentral:rRNA from 1 species